UUGACGGGGGCCCGCACAGCGGUGGAGCACGUUGGUUUAAUUCGAUGCAAACCGAAGAACCUUACCGUGGGUUUGACAUGUACGUGGUACGGAUAUAGAAAGUUGAGGGACUCCGCUUUCGGGUGGAGAGCGUACACAGGUGCUGCAUGGCUGUCGUCAGCUCGUGUCGUGAGAUGUCGGGUUAAGUCCCGCAACGAGCGCAACCCCUGCAUUCAGUUGCCAUCGGGUGAAGCCGGGCACUCUGGAAGGACUGCCAUCGACAAGAUGGAGGAAGGUGGGGACGACGUCAAGUCAUCAUGGCCCUUAUGUCCAGGGCGACACACGUGCUACAAUGGCCGGCACAACGGGAAGCGAGUUCGCGAGGACGAGCGGAUCCCUUAAAGCCGGUCGCAGUUCGGAUUGAAGUCUGCAACUCGACUUCAUGAAGCUGGAAUCGCUAGUAAUCGCAGAUCAGCCAAGCUGCGGUGAAUACGUUCCCGGGCCUU
rnacentral:rRNA from 1 species